rnacentral:rRNA from 1 species
GAUGAACGCUGGCGGCGUGCUUAACACAUGCAAGUCGAACGGAAAGGCCAGUGCUUGCACUGGUACUCGAGUGGCGAACGGGUGAGUAACACGUGGGUGAUCUGCCCUACACUUCGGGAUAAGCCUGGGAAACUGGGUCUAAUACCGGAUAGGACAAUGGUUUGGAUGCCGUUGUGGAAAGUUUUUUCGGUGUGGGAUGAGCUCGCGGCCUAUCAGCUUGUUGGUGGGGUAAUGGCCUACCAAGGCGUCGACGGGUAGCCGGCCUGAGAGGGUGUACGGCCACAUUGGGACUGAGAUACGGCCCAGACUCCUACGGGAGGCAGCAGUGGGGAAUAUUGCACAAUGGGCGCAAGCCUGAUGCAGCGACGCCGCGUGGGGGAUGACGGCCUUCGGGUUGUAAACUCCUUUCGCUAGGGACGAAGCGUAUUUGUGACGGUACCUGGAGAAGAAGCACCGGCUAACUACGUG